AUUGAACGCUGGCGGCAGGCCUAACACAUGCAAGUCGAGCGAGUGUCGGACGGGUGAGAAAUAUCUGGGAAACUGCCUCAUGUAGGGGGAUAACUACUGUAAACGGUAUCUCAUACCGCAUACCAUCUGAUAUGCCCCGAUGUGAUUAGCUAGUAGGUGGGGUAAAGGCUCACCUAGGCGACGAUCCCUAGCUGGUCUGAGAGGAUGACCAGCCACACUGGAACUGAGACACGGUCCAGACUCCUACGGGAGGCAGCAGUGGGGAAUAUUGCACAAUGGGCGCAAGCCUGAUGCAGCCAUGCCGCGUGUAUGAAGAAGGCCUUCGGGUUGUAAAGUACUUUCAGCGGGGAGGCGUUACCCGCAGAAGAAGCACCGGCUAACUCCGUGCCAGCAGCCGCGGUAAUAC
rnacentral:rRNA from 1 species